GGGAAAAAAAAUUCAAGGCCAUCAUUGGAACCAUAUUUGAUGAGGUUAUAAGAAUAUGUAUUAACAUAAUAAUAUAUUAUUAGUAAUUAACAUGCCUGAGAAAUUGAAAGAAACUAAUAAUGAACAAAGCCUUUCAUCCAUAGAACUCCUUACAAAUUUUCACAUCAUACAUUAUUUUGUUUUUUAUACCAAGCUACAACCAAUGACACAUAAUAGCUAGAUGGGUAAGCCUUCCUGCUAGCUCUUGCUUUAGUGAUGGAAGAGACAUGACAUGAUAUGAAGUGGAGCAUAUGUACGUGGUUCAUGACCUCUUGUACUCGUUGCAUACCCUAAAAAAAAUCUGGGCUUAGCUUGAUCUCUUCUUCUUCUUCUUCUUGUAUCUUAUACAAACCCCAUUUCCCCACUUAAAAUGAAGCCAAUCUAAAAGAAGCUUCAAACAUCCAGAGUUUAAUUAAGAUAGUAAAGAAGAUGAUUGAAAUUAAAAUAACAAAGCAAAUAUAGAGAAACCCAUGUAUCCUAUCUGUUAGUAAUGAAGAAAUCCAAACAGGUCACCCAAAUUAAUAUUUUUUUUUCUUAAAAAAUAAAAAAAAAAGUAGAAAAUAAGACCCACCCAGAUUAAUUAUUUUCUUCUAUCUGUCUAGCUUUGCCAUGAUCCUCCACCACCACCCAGCAUUCCAGUCCAAUAUCCACCUGAAUCUCCCUGCUCUCUAUUCUGCUCAAUAUUAGUUGUGCUUGAGACUUGCUUUAGAUCUUCAAACGGAAACAAAAGCCUCCCACCAGUCUCUUGAACCCCCUGGACACUACCAUACCCACUUCCAAGCCCAUCCAGAGAGAAAUUCAAGGUUGGCUUGAAAUCUUGAAGAGAAAACCCAGAUGUGUAAACUGAGUUUGGAUCUUGAACUGGCAUAGGCAUGAAAGAAUUCAAACCCCUUGAAGAGAUUCCCGUUAGCAGUUCCAAAGCUGAAAGUUGAGAUGUAGUGGAUGUAGAAGAAGAAGAGAUUUGGUUCUUGUUGUUGGUUUCAACGUUAGGUACUUGAAUCAAUUCAGAGAAACUUCUUAUACCUUGAGUAGAUGGGAAAGCUAUGUUGAGAUCUUGGCCUUCAUGGAUCUUAGGGUUUUGAAUAGAAGACUGUGACAAACUUGGAGGUGUAACAAGAUCUGGAAGUUUCUUUGAAGAUGAGGAGCAAGAAGAUAUAGAAGAAAAUGAAGCAGAUGAUCUCUUAUUCUUCCUGGAACCACCACCGACAGGAAUGUUUCUGAGAGAACCACCUUCAGUCCAAUACCUUCUACAAGUCUUGCAGAAGUACCUAGGCUGAGUGAGACUGUAGUUGUUAUAGUAACAGAACUUAGUGUUGGUUGAAUUGCACCUUGGACAGUUCAAGGCUUGCUCUUUUUGAGGUCUGGCCUUCCUCUCCAAAGCUGCAGGCUUUGGGCAUGUGUUUGUGACUAUCUCUUCUAUUGGUUUCACCAUUAUCUCCUAAAAAAAGAAGAUAAAGGAAACAAAUGAAAAUAGACAUAAAGAAAGAAACCAUGGCUAGCUUGAAGAUCAAACAACUCAAGAUUAAAAGAAAAGAUAGACAAACAAAUAAAACAAUUUAGCUACUUUUACACUUUUCAACAUUUCAUCAGACCAUAAAAAGGAAAAGGAAAAUAGCACUCUUUUUUCUUUCUCACUCAAGCAAAAGAGAAAGAUAAAGUGCCAUAUUUGGUGAAGAAACAGAUAGAAACUAAAUCCAAAUAAGUGGGGACUUGCACCAUCCAUGAACAUCAAUCAUCCCUUUUGCGAAAAAGAUAACCCAAAAAACCAGAAACCAUACAAUCUAGGGCUAAUAAGUUAUGUCCAUGAAAACCCGAAAAAAAGGUCUCUUAAAAGAGAUCAAGCACCAGGUAGUAGAUCCAUCUACCUGUGGCCACUGAGCAGUAUCCAUGGAUGAAACUGAAGAUUCAGAGAUUAUUGUUGAUGAAAAGAAAGAAAAAUAAAAACACCCUUUUCUUGAAACUGGUUUCAAAAGCAAGAAGGAAAGUUUGGGAUGGUUUUGAGUGGAAGCCCUAUGCGUGUGUACCACCUUGCUUUAUGAGCUGUGUGCGUAUGUACAUGCCACAGAGAGAGAGAGAGACCUCUAAUUAUAAUAUCCCUGCCUUCUUACAUUAUCAAUUUAGCAUUUUAAUUCUAAAGUGGGGAAU
rnacentral:misc_RNA from 1 species